rnacentral:rRNA from 1 species
GUGCCAGCAGCCGCGGUAAUACGGAGGGUGCGAGCGUUAAUCGGAAUUACUGGGCGUAAAGGGCGCGUAGGCGGUCGCGCAAGUCGGGUGUGAAAGCCCCGGGCUCAACCUGGGAAUUGCAUUCGAUACUGCGUAACUAGAGUCUGGUAGAGGGAAGCGGAAUUCCGCAUGUAGCGGUGAAAUGCGUAGAUAUGCGGAGGAACACCAGUGGCGAAGGCGGCUUCCUGGACCAAGACUGACGCUGAGGCGCGAAAGCGUGGGGAGCAAACAGGAUUAGAUACCCUGGUAGUCCACGCCCUAAACGAUGAGGACUAGACGUUGGGGGGAUAAAACCCUUUAGUGUCGCAGCUAACGCGUGAAGUCCUCCGCCUGGGGAGUACGGCCGCAAGGUUGAAACUCAAAGAGUUAGUCGGCGUGAGACGUAGCCGAACGGACGACACACGGGAGGUAG